rnacentral:tRNA from 1 species
GGUAGUGUAGCCGAGUGGUCUAAGGCGCUGGUUUUAGGCACCAGUCUUUCGAGGCGUGGGUUCGAAUCCCACCGCUGCCA